UGGGGAAUCUUGCGCAAUGGGCGAAAGCCUGACGCAGCGACGCCGCGUGAGUGAUGAAGGCCUUCGGGUUGUAAAGCUCUGUGGGGAGGAGAAGAAUAAGUGCGGGCUAAUACUCCGCAUGAUGACGGUAUCUCCUUAGCAAGCACCGGCUAACUCUGUGCCAGCAGCCGCGGUAAGACAGAGGGUGCAAACGUUGUUCGGAAUUACUGGGCGUAAAGCGAGUGUAGGCGGUUUGGUAAGUCGGAUGUGAAAGCCCCGGGCUCAACCCGGGAAGUGCACUCGAUACUGCCAAGCUAGAGUAUCGGAGAGGUUGGUGGAAUUCUCGGUGUAGAGGUGAAAUUCGUAGAUAUCGAGAGGAACACCGGUGGCGAAGGCGGCCAACUGGACGAAUACUGACGCUGAGACUCGAAAGCGUGGGGAGCAAACCGGAUUAGAUACCCGGGUAGUCCACGCCGUAAACGAUGAGUACUAGGUGUAGGGGGUAUC
rnacentral:rRNA from 1 species